AUCACUUCUUGGCCUUUUGGCUAAGAUCAAGUGCAGUAUCUGUUAUCAGUUUAAUAUCUGAUAUGUCCUCUAUCCAAGGACAAUAUAUUAAAUGGAUUUUUGGAGUAGGGAGUUGGAAUAGGAGCUUGCUCUGAACAAUCCACACAUCAACCUGGUAUUGCAGUACUUCCAGGAAUGGUGUACCCUCC
ensembl:snRNA U2 U2 spliceosomal RNA